CACCGACCAAUGUCCCCACUUGGCGUAAAAUAUGUGGUUCGGAUCCAAGGAUCAUCAUCAUCUAACAAAUCAAAUGGCACAGGUUCUUCAAUAUCAUCAUCAACUGUUCUAUACCACAUGCAUGGAGACGAAGCCAGAUGAGACGCCUGGCAGUUUCCUUCUACCCAAAAUUUGAAAAAGACGAAAAAAAAAACCCAAAUUCGUGCCCCAUGCAACAUAGAUUGGGCACCUGCGAUUUGAAUGGGGAACAACAAAAUCGUGUUCCCUAUGCAACAUAGAAUGGCUAAAACCCAAAUCUGAGUCGUGAAAUCAAAGUGCUCUUGGAUUUGGAGAACUAUCGGGAAAUCAAAUUCAUCAAUGGUUUAGAGAUACAUUUCGAGUUUAAGACAACUGAUACAUUUAGAGAGAGACGACUCACAGAUCAGAGGAAGACGUUGGAACCUGGUGAACGAAAGUCGGAUUCAAUCCACGACGAAGAAGGAGGAUAGACUCACCGUCUGCCAGUAGAAGAGAUCUUGAGAGGGGUUACGGUGAGGUAAUGGAAAGUGAGAAGUUCUGUAACGGAGAGGGAGCCUCAUCGAGCGGUGGAGGCAGGAGGCGCAGGGUUUGGGGUUUUUUUUUUUUUUUCCAUUAAACGCCCCGUUUGCCUGUGUUUAAAGUUUUUGUAAAUUAAAUAGUUGUACACGAAUAAUAAUAAUAAUGAGAAGCAA